GGGUGCGAUCAUACCAGCACUAAUGCACCGGAUCCCAUCAGGUCUUUGAAGAUAAGCGUGCUUGGGUGAGAAGGGUACUUAUUGAUAUGUCACAUAUG
rnacentral:rRNA from 1 species